UGUCCCCUGCGGUAUUGGUCAAGACCAUAGAUUCCUUGAACCAAUGCAUGUUGGCAUCAGUUGGCGUCGUAAGUUGAUGUUGUGCGCGGCCCUUGCGGCCGUGCCUGAUUCGGCGAGGCGUCAGCGACUCUGGACCCGCGGUUCAGGAUGCCGGUCUUGACGGUAUUCGCGGGGGCCUC
rnacentral:other from 1 species